CCUCUCUCAGGGUCGCACCUGAAGAGUUUCCAUUACUCUACCAGUCUCAGCUACGGGAGGGAGAGGCAAGCAGAGGCAUAUCCAUUCCAUUCCUAGGUUGGUCAGCAGCUAGCGAGUGGAAGGCAAUCUGCUAAAAGU